rnacentral:rRNA from 1 species
GAUGAGGACAUCUGGUCUGGCUUCUGGCCAGUACUGGGUGGACCGAUUCUUUUUUCUGGGGAAUCAAGGUGCCCUUCACUGGGUGCCUUGGGGAACCAGAACGAUUACCUUGAGAAAAAUAGAGUGCUCAAAGCAGGUCAUUGCCUGAAUACAUUAGCAUGGAAUAAUAAAAUAGGACUUUGGUUCUAUUUUGUUGGUUUUAAGGACCAAUGUC